rnacentral:rRNA from 1 species
AUCUGCCUGGUAGUGGGGGACAACGUCUCGAAAGGGACGCUAAUACCGCAUACGUCCUACGGGAGAAAGCAGGGGACCUUCGGGCCUUGCGCUAUCAGAUGAGCCUAGGUCGGAUUAGCUAGUUGGUGAGGUAAUGGCUCACCAAGGCGACGAUCCGUAACUGGUCUGAGAGGAUGAUCAGUCACACUGGAACUGAGACACGGUCCAGACUCCUACGGGAGGCAGCAGUGGGGAAUAUUGGACAAUGGGCGAAAGCCUGAUCCAGCCAUGCCGCGUGUGUGAAGAAGGUCUUCGGAUUGUAAAGCACUUUAAGUUGGGAGGAAGGGCAGUAACUUAAUACGUUGCUGUUUUGACGUUACCGACAGAAUAAGCACCGGCUAACUCUGUGCCAGCAGCCGCGGUAAUACAGAGGGUGCAAGCGUUAAUCGGAAUUACUGGGCGUAAAGCGCGCGUAGGUGGUUUGUUAAGUUGGAUGUGAAAGCCCCGGGCUCAACCUGGGAACUGCAUUCAAAACUGACAAGCUAGAGUAUGGUAGAGGGUGGUGGAAUUUCCUGUGUAGCGGUGAAAUGCGUAGAUAUAGGAAGGAACACCAGUGGCGAAGGCGACCACCUGGACUGAUACUGACACUGAGGUGCGAAAGCGUGGGGAGCAAACAGGAUUAGAUACCCUGGUAGUCCACGCCGUAAACGAUGUCAACUAGCCGUUGGGAGCCUUGAGCUCUUAGUGGCGCAGCUAACGCAUUAAGUUGACCGCCUGGGGAGUACGGCCGCAAGGUUAAAACUCAA